rnacentral:misc_RNA from 1 species
GAUGAAGAACGUAGCGAAAUGCGAUAAGUAGUGUGAAUUGCAGAAUUUAGUGAAUCAUCGAAUUUUUGAACGCACAUUGCGCCCUUUGGUAUUCCGAAGGGCAUACCUGUUCGAGCGUCAUUUAAACCUUCAAGCUAAGCUUGGUGUUGGGUGACUGUCCGCUUCACGGCGGACUCGCCUCAAAAUUAUUGGCGGCCGGUACAUUGGCUUCGAGCGCAGCAGAAACGCGAACUCGGGCCCGUCGUAUUGGCUCCCAGAAGCUAUCUUCACAAUUUUGACCUCGGAUCAGGUAGGGAUACCCGCUGAACUUAAGCAUAUCAAUAAGCGGAGGA